rnacentral:lncRNA from 1 species
AAAUGCCAAAUAAUCGAUGUGUUGCAGAACUGCGUGCUGCUAACAUGAAAAGAAAGCUUCAAAAGAACUCAAGUUUGCUUGAAGAUUACUGUAGCUUCAUGAAAAGUAUAAUAGACAAAGGAUAUGCAGUUAAAGUUCCCCCCGAACAGCUUGUUCGCAAUGACAACAGAGUCUGGUACAUACCACACCACGGGGUGUACCACCCAAAGAAAAAGAAAAUAAGAGUGGUUUUUGAUUGUACUGCUUCGUUUCAAGGCAUGUCCUUGAACAGCCAAUUGCUACAAGGUCCGAACCUCACAAACACACUCAUUGGUGUCCUUACCAGAUUUAGGGAAGAACCAAUAGCCAUGAUGGCAGAUGUGGAGUCGAUGUUCUAUCAGGUGAGGGUUCCUGAGGAGGAUGCAGAUCUGCUUCGUUUUCUUUGGUGGCCAGAGGGCAAUUUGAAUGCACCUAUAGAAGAAUUUAGGAUGAUGGUGCACCUAUUCGGAGCCACUUCGUCACCUAGCUGCGCCUCUUAUGCACUGAAAAGGACUGCUGAGGACAGAAAAGAAGUAGCAUCUCCGAAGGCUGUUGAAACAGUUAUACACAAUUUUUAUGUUGAUGACUGCCUGAAAUCUGUGUCUACAGAACAAGAAGCUAUUGACUUAGCAAGUGUUGUUCGGAAGUUGUGCGCUGAAGGAGGUUUCUGCCUAACCAAGUGGGUAAGCAAUAGUAGGAAAGUACUAUUGUCUAUUCCAGAAGAACAAAGGGCCAGUGGAAUAAAGGACCUUGACUUAGAUCAGUAUUUUUUGCCUAUUGAGAGAGCACUUGGCAUCCAGUGGUGAACAGAAAAUGACGCUUUCACAUAUAAGAUCAAGGUACAAGAGAAGCCAUUCAGUAGGAGAGGUAUUCUCUCGGUUGUUAACUCAAUUUAUGACCCUCUUGGGUUUUCUGGUGCCACUCAUCUUACCAGUCAAACUUCUUCUGAGGGAUAUGUGCAAACAAGGAUAUGGAUGGGACGAAGAGAUUGACGGUAAACGAGCUGAUCAAUGGGUCAAAUGGCUUGAAGAUUUAAAUCACCUCUCAGACUUUCGGAUCAAAA